rnacentral:rRNA from 1 species
CCUACGGGCGGCAGCAGUGGGGAAUAUUGGACAAUGGGGGCAACCCUGAUCCAGCCAUGCCGCGUGUGUGAAGAAGGCCCUCGGGUUGUAAAGCACUUUCAGUGAGGAAGAACGCCUGGUGGUUAAUACCCAUCAGGAAAGACAUCACUCACAGAAGAAGCACCGGCUAACUCCGUGCCAGCAGCCGCGGUAAUACGGAGGGUGCGAGCGUUAAUCGGAAUUACUGGGCGUAAAGCGCGCGUAGGUGGCUUGAUAAGCCGGUUGUGAAAGCCCCGGGCUCAACCUGGGAACGGCAUCCGGAACUGUCAAGCUAGAGUGUAGUAGAGGAAGGUAGAAUUCCCGGUGUAGCGGUGAAAUGCGUAGAGAUCGGGAGGAAUACCAGUGGCGAAGGCGGCCUUCUGGACUAACACUGACACUGAGGUGCGAAAGCGUGGGUAGCAAACAGGAUUAGAUACCCUGGUAGUC